GGAGACGCGUCGGGUUUAAAAAAAUUGGAACUAGACCUCGUAGUUCCUUUGACUUUCCCACUAACGAUAGGUUAGGAGAUAGUACUUUAUAAUUUAUUUCAAAAAUAAGCAGAGUCAUAAUCAAUCCAAAAUUUAAAGAAAGAUUGAAUUAUGUUGAAAGGUUUUGAUAUGAAAUAUUUUUAAACUAAGUAACUUGCUAGAUGCAUAAAAUGAUUCUAAUUUAAAUAAAAUAAAGUUGCAUAAUGAAGGCGGAAAUCUUCAAGAGGACAAAUAGGAUUUCUAAUGAUAUUAACUAAUUUUAAGGGGAGGGCACAAAUAUGCACAAACAAAUUUUGUUAAAAAUUAUUUACAAACCUAUAGACAUGAUUUCUAGGUGUUUAAAAAAAACAAUGUAACAUAUAUAUGCAUGAUUUUGUAAAUGAUAUGAACAAAUUAAACCUUAGACAUGGUUUCUACAUGACAAGAUGAUGCUAAAAUUAUAACAUUAUUAAAACACCUAAUCGGCCUAUUAAGUUACUAUGAUUUGCUUUUAACAUUAACGGAAUCUAGUUUAUUAUUUUUUAGACUUCAUUAACAAAAGUGUCAAGCAAAUUGAAAAUUGAUUAGAUUAUAACACCUAUAAACAUUAAAUCUAGGUGGUUAAAGACAAACCUAUAGGCAUGAUUUCUAAAAAUAUAACGAACAAAUAAGCAUAUAAAUCCCCCUCCCCUAGACGACCCCCAAAUAAAUUUAUUAUAUGAUCUUUAGGGUUACAAUUGUUACAUCAUUCGAAUAAAUAAAAUAGCGAAAAAAAUAAAAAUAUAUAGAUAUAUAUAUAUACAUUCAAACAAAUAAAUAAAUCCUUCUUCAGUUAAUCUUCAACUUGAACUUCAAAUAUGAAACCUGUCAAAGUAAUUAAAUAACUACACAAGUAAUCACACUUGUUAGUUAAGGUGAGACAAUAUGCAAUCGUUUAAUGACGAAUUCUACAUACAAAACAAUAGCUUACACAAAUUGUGAAUGUAAAGAUAGUGUGAAUGUUAAGAUACUAACCCGUUAAGCAAAACGAAUUGAUUCAACCUUUACUCGAACAAAGUAAUAAGAUAGCAAAGAAGAACCCUUGAAUAAUUACCGGAAUAUUAAUGUUUUGUUAAGUAGCAAGAGAGCAAAUGAGAGAAGGGAGAAUGAUGCGAGAGUUUUGUGAUUGAGAGUGAAUGAAUGUCCAUGAAUGAAUAAAAGGAGCUCUUUAUAUAGUAGAGGAGGGGGAAACAAAUAAGGGAAAUAAAUAUUUAAAGAAAUCAAUUAUAAUACAAUUUUCCUUAUUUUAAAGGAUAUCCAAAUCAGAAAAUAUGGUAUUACUAAAUAUAAACAAGUAAGAAUAAAUUAAUAGAGCAAGAUAUUUAUUUUUCCUUAAAUAACAAAAGGUUAAAAUCAGAUUUAAUUUAUUGUACCAAAACAUGAGCAACUAAAUAUGACAAGGAAAUAAUAAGGUUGUCAUAAACAAACAAGUAAGAAUAAUUAAGCCAAAUAUUAAAGGAAGGAGAUAUUAAUUAAUAUUAUUAUUAUUUUUUUAUUUUAAAGAAGAGCCAAAUUAAAAUUUUAAAAUAUUUAAAAGUCAAAUUAAAAUUUUCGAAUAUUUGCUACCAAUUAAUUAUCAACAAAUAAAUAUACGGGAAGAACACCAAACAUGAAGGAUGAAUAAAUCAAAGACCGUAAUCAAUAAUAUGCUAGCAGCUAUUCAACAAUCAUAUGAAAUUAAAAAAAAAUAAUUAAAAGGAUGACAAGAAAUCAAUAUCCGCCAAGGUUAUUCGAAUUGAUCAGACAAUAAUCAAUUAAACAUACCAAGCAUAAGCUAGUAUUAACAAAUUGACAUCAUUUGAACAUUUAUAGCAAGAAUAAUGAGACAGUAGAUAAAUAUUAUUAACAAGCAUGUACGAAUUAAACGAAUGUAGUAACAACUUAAAACCUUCGAAACUUCGCCGGAGUUGCUUCUCGCCAAGCUGUUGUCCGAUUUUUCUUGUCCUCGCUGCUGCUGGUGGCGCUGGUGUCGGCGUUGUCGGAGCUGCUGUCACUGCUGUCGGACUGCUUCCCUGUCAAACCUGCAAGAAGAAAAAAGGAAAAAGAGGACGAAGGAGAAGAGGAGACGAGAAGAGGGGAGAAGUAGAGAGGGAGAAGUGGAAAAUGACGGGAGAGGGAGGAAGGGGCGGCGCCGCCUGGCUGCUGCUCGCCAUGGCUGCUGGUCGCAUGACGUUGCUGGAGGCCCGCCGGAGGCUGCUUGGUUGCUGAUGGGAGGCGCUGGUACCUGCAAACAAGAAGAAGAAGAGAAAAUAGAAGAGGAAGGGGAAGAAGAUGAGAGAAAGGGGAGAAGGGGGACAACGGGAGAGGGGAGAAGAAGGGGAAGAGAGAGAGGAGAGGCGGCUUGGAGAGGGGGAGAGAAAGAGAAUGAGAAUUAUUUUUAGGGAUUAGAGUCUUUUAGUUUAAAAUAUGUAGAUUAAAUCUGGACCAUUGAUUUUAGAAGAGAUGAGGGGUUAGGAUUAGAUCUACGAAUUAAUUAAGAUGGACGGAUGAGAUCAAAAGAUCAUUUCUUGAAAUUAGAUGAGUUAGAUACGGAAUGGCUAAAAUUGCAAUUAAAAUUGACUAGAAUUGAAAGGAAGAGAUGGCUAUGAUUGUAAUAAAAUUUUAAUUGGAGUGGCUAGAAUUGAAAGAAAUUGGAAUAGAAUAGGCUAGAAUUUAAAAUUUAAGGAAAGUGUAGGAAUUACUAUUUAAUCAAAAUACUACAUAUAUUAAAAUAUUUUUAUAUAAUUGAAAAUCAUUUAAAUUUUAACAUUUGAAAUUCAGUAAUAAUUUUAAAAUAUUUUAAUAAUAUUUACGAUAAUUUUAUAGAAUAAAACAUACUAAUCUAUAAUUUUCAAGCAAAGUCGAUUAAAAAUUCUAAAAUUUAAAAUACGUAUUUAAUCGAAUAGUAUUCCUAAAAAUGGUCAAAGGUCGGUCAAAAUUGGGUGUCAACAGCUGCCCCUUGGUUGAUUGAGAAUGAAGAAUGAAUUGUCAGGCAACCAACGUUGACUUAGAAGCCGAUUUUGUCUGACCGGCGAAAGAUGUCAGUUGGAUCAAUUGAAACGAUAUAGAGUUGAAAAGGGUACGACCGAGACUUUGGUAUUAAGCCGCCUACAUAUCUCUGGUUAUACGAGAAUCAGGUCGUGUGUAGUUCUAGAUUCAAGAGCAAGCGAAACUCUUAAAAGUUGAAAGAGCGGUAAGGUAUUCGGAAGGCACGAUAUCGGCUUGAAUGGAUAAGACUAGAGUAGCGAGAAAAGAGAGAUUGAGAGGCUGAAAGAGCGUGACAGAGAAGCGAAAAGAGCAUGAUAGAGUAAGGCUAUCAGCCUUUGAGCGAGGGUUCGGAGUAUGAAAAGUGAAGAAUUGAUAGAGUCAUUGUUGUGAUAGAGGAUAGCGUGAUAAUUGUAAUCAAGGGCGAUCGAUCAUAUCUGCAAAUUCUAGAUAAUAUGUUAGCUUAUAAAUAGAUAAAGUAUGACCAAUAAUAAUAAAAUAUGAGUUCUAAAUAGAAAAGAGGUGAUAAAAACAUAUCUGUUUGAGACGUAGUGCAAGCCUUGAUAGUCUUCAACUUCUCGAAGGAUUGAACCCAUCUCUGAAGAAUGACGUCAAACUCCAAUAGAUUUGAUACUAUAAGAUAUAAUAAUAUAGACGAAAAUAUCUAGUUAUAAGGAGAGUCUAAACGUCAUUUUAAGGCGGACGAGCCUAAGUGUCGUUUUAAGGCGGACAACCUAAAUAUCUUAUAAAGCGAACAAAAUAUCUUAUAAAGCGGACGAACAUAAAUGUCCUAUGAGGCGGACAAGCCUAAAUGUCCCUUUAAAGUGGACGGCCUAAAUGUUCUAUAAGAUGGACAAACCUAAAUGUCGUUUUAAGGCGGAUGAGCCUAAAUGUCCUAUUGUAAGGCGAACGAGCCUAGAUGUCGUAUUGUAAGGCGGACGAGCCUAGCUGAAGAGAUAGAAAGUCACAGUGGCGAGUUGAAUCCGAAGAUAUCUUCAUGGUAGCCUGAAUGAUAGAUGAGUAGUGAAACGAUAGUGCGAGUAGCCAAGAAGUUGUCGGAGCCUUUGUUUUGUAAACAAGUGAACAAUCGUUCAAACGGCGACUUUGUCUGUAAUCUGCAUAACUGUAACUUGUAAUAGAGUGAUUAGAGCAGAAAAAGCGGUAAAUGUAAACAUGAUGCAAUUUCCCAUAUUGACCAUGAAUGUUUGCCUUAAGACCAUGCAAAAUGACGUCUUAGGCUAUGAUGUCUAGGGCCAUGAUAUGCAGGGUGUAUCCUCAGGUCAUGAAAAUGUUGUCUGUAGGCCAUGAAAAUGACGCCUUUAGACUAUGACACCUUCGGAUUAUGAUAGACAGGAAUUAAACCCUUAGGCCAUGAUAUGAUGUCCGCAGGCCAUGAGGAUGAUGCCUUUAGACUAUGAUACCUUAGGGACAUGGUAAGCAUAAAAUAAGUCCUCAGGCCAUGACAUGAAGUCCGCAGGCCAUGAAAGAUGACGCCUUUGGAGGAUGACGCCUUUGGAAUAUAAAUGAUGAGUAAAGAGAGCGUAUCUGUUUUUGACAUCUGUUGAUACUCUUGUGACUUGAUUUGAUUCGGGCGCAUGUAAACUUCGAGCACGAUGCAAUCUUGAGCUUAUGCAAACUUCGGGCACAAUGUAGUCUCGGGCACAAUGCGAUGAUGCAUUUCUUCGGGCACAUGCAAUAUCGAGCACAUGCAAUGAUGCAUUUCUUCGGGCACAUGCAAUAUCGAGCACAAUGCAAUGAUGCACUUCUUCGGGCAUAAUGUAAUAUCGGGCACAUGCAGUAUCGAGCAUAUGUAAUGGUGCAUUUCUUCGGGCAUAUAAAAUAUCGAGCGCAUGCAAUAAUGCAAUUCUUCGAGCAUAAGUCAAUAUUGGGCAUAUGCGAUGAUGUAUUUCUUCGGGCACAUGAAAUAUCGAGCACAUGCGAUGAUGCAUUUCUUCGGGCACAUAAAAUAUCGAGCGCAUGCAAUAAUGCAAUUCUUCGAGCAUAAGUCAAUAUUGGGCAUAUGCGAUGAUGUAUUUUUUCGGGCACAUGAAAUAUCGAGCACAUGCGAUGAUGCAUUUCUUCGGGCACAUAAAAUAUCGAGCGCAUGCAAUAAUGCAAUUCUUCGAGCAUAAGUCAAUAUUGGGCAUAUGCGAUGAUGUAUUUCUUCAGGCACAUGCAAUAUCGAGCACAUGCAAUAAUGCAUUUCUUCGGGCACAUGCAAUAUCGAGUGGAAUGCAAUGAUGCAUUUCGGCAUUCUCGGGCAUAAUAUAAUGAUGUAGUUCUUUGAGCAUAGUGUGAUAUCAGGCGUAGGUGCAAAAUGAUGCAAUAUCGGGCAUAAUGUAAUUUGUCAGCACAGCAGUUGCAUUGAGGGCAUACAGUAGCUUGGGCGUUCGCCUUAUUGGAAGGGUCGAGUGUCAUAUGUCGGGCUCAAAUGUGGUGAUGUUGAUUGUUGCAGUUGCCUUUGUAUACGUACCUGUAUUUUCUACAUUCAAAGAAAAAUAGUUAGUUUUAAGGGGGAAGGUUGAUCUGUAUCCAUGAUUUGGCGCAGCGUGCUCCUUUGGCUUGCCAUCCACACCUCUUCGAGCGUCUGUUUUUUUUUCAUAAAAAGGGGGAAAGAAAGAGAAAAAAGAAAAAGAAUAAUAAUAAAAUAAAAAAUAAAAAAUAAAUUUUUUGAAAGAUUAUCAUUUAAUAAAAGCUAAUGUCAAAUCUUUGACCAUGGCAUAGGUUGAAACUUUAUAACGUCUGACUCAAGAGUGGAGCUAUCAUUUAAUCUUCGUUGUAAGCUGACUGCUUGUUGAGAAGAAACUUUCGGUGAAAUUUUGAGUUUACUCAAAAUUUCUGCCCCAGUAUGAAGAUGUGCCAGGAGAAAUCUUAAUGGAAUUUUUGAGAUCCUCUCAAAAAUUCUGCCCCAGUUAUCAAUAGAAAAGGGGGAAAUGAAAGUUUUAUUUAUAAUAAGACCGAACCCCAUAGGAGCGCCUACGUAUCCCCUCUUAAAUGGGAAUCAGGUCUGACGUAGUUCCAAAUUACAAAAGAGCAUGAAUCAAUCUCUAGAUGUAAUACUUUUUCACAGAAUCUGAAUUGAUAGGUUUUGGCCAAACUUCUCCAUCCAUUUCUGCAAGUAUGAGGGCUCCGCCUGUCAGUACUCGAGAGACUAUGUACGGACCUUGCCAAUUUGGUGAAAAUUUACCCUUUGCCUCGUCUUGAUUUGGAAAAAUCCGCUUCAAAACCAGUUGCCCAGGUGAGAAAUGUCUGGGUUUAACCUUCUUGUUGAAAGCUCUGGCCAUUCUAUUCUGAUAGAGCUGACCAUGACAAAUGGCGUUAAUUCUUCUUCCAUCUAUUAAUGCCAAAUUCUCUGCCCGACCUUGUAUCCAAUCAGCAUCACUCAACUUUGCUUCUUGGAUGAUCCUUAGGGAAGGUAUCUCAACUUCGGCGGGUAUCACAGCUUCAGUGCCGUAUACUAAGAAGUAAGGUGUGGCCCUGUGGAAGUUCUGAUUGUGGUACGAUACCCCAGCAAUGCGAAAGGUAGCUUUUCCUGCCAGUGUUUGUGAUUAUCGAUCAUCUUGCGCAAUAUCCUUUUGAUGUUUUUGUUUGCCGCCUCAACAACCCCAUUCAUCUGUGGCCUGUAUGCUGUAGAGUUUCGAUGACUGAUCUUGAACUUCUCACACAUUGAUCUCAUCAGGUCACUGUUUAGGUUGGUGCCGUUAUCGGUGAUGAUUGACUCAGGAAUUCCAAACCUACAAAUAAUGUUGUUUUUGACAAAGUCAUCCACAACUUUCUUUGUCACUGAUUUAUGGGAGGUGGCCUCAACCCACUUGGUGAAAUAGUCAAUUGCAACAAGAAUGAAUCUGUGCCCGUUGGAUGCUGUUGGCUCGAUUGGACCAAUGACAUCCAUGCCCCAUGCUGCGAACGGCCAAGGUGAACUAGUGACAUGGAGUUCGUUGGGAGGUACUCGAAUCAUAUCUGCGUGAGUCUGACAUUGAUGGCAUUUCUGGACGUAGCGAAUGCAGUCUGUCUCCAUAGUUAGCCAAUAAUAUCCUGAUCUCAGAAUCUUCUUUGCUAAUGUAAAACCGUUCAUGUGAGGGCCACAGGUGCCUGCAUGUAUCUCUUCGACCAGCCUGCGAGCCUCUCUUGCUUCGACGCAUCUUAGCAGUCCCAAAUCGGGAGUUCUCCUAUAGAGGAUUUCCCCACUUAAGAAGAAUUGGGUUGCUAACCUUCGAAUUGUACGCUUUUGUACACUUGUUGCAUCUUCUGUGUAUUCACCACUCUUCAAAUAUCUUCUAAUGUCAUCGUACCAGGGCUUUCCAUCAGGCUCUUCCUCAACAUGGAAACAAUAAGCUGGUUGUUCAUGUAUAUGAAUGUGAAUAGGAUCGAUGUAAUUGUGAUCAGGGUGUCGAAUCAUAGAAGACAGAGUGGCUAAGGCGUCUGCAAAUUCAUUUUGGACCCUUGGUACAUGUCUAAAUUCUGUUUUGACAAACCUUUUACAUAGCCUGUGCACGCACUCCAAAUAUGGUAACAACUUUCGAUUUUUUGUUGCCCAAUCACCUCGAACCUGAUGGAUCAAUAGGUCUGAAUCCCCUAUUAUUAUCAUUUCCUGGACAUCCAAGUCGAUCGCCCGUCGGAGACCUAGUAUGCAGGCUUCGUAUUCGGCCAUAUUAUUUGAGCAAAGGAAUCUGAGUUUUGCUGAUACUGGAUAAUGUUGCCCGGUGGGUGAGAUCAAAACAGCCCCAAUGCCGCAUCCAUUCAGAUUUUUAGCUCCAUCAAAGAACAUUCUCCAUCCAUCAUAUUCUUCAGAAAUGUCCUCUCCCACAAAAGCCACCUCUUCAUCUGGGAAGUAGGUCUUCAGCGGUCUGUAAUCAUCGUCCACGGGAUUCUCUGCCAUAUGGUCUGCUAAUGCCUGUGCUUUCACUGCUUUUUGCGUGACAUACACUAUGUCAAACUCGCUCAACAGUAUCUGCCAUUUUGCCAGUUUACCUGUGGGCAUAGGCUUUUGAAAGAUAUACUUCAAAGGAUCCAUCCUUGAAAUCAGAUAAGUAGUAUGCGAUGAGAGGUAAUGUCGUAACUUUUGGGCAACCCAUGUUAGAGCACAACAGGUACGCUCUAAUAGAGAGUAUCGGGCUUCGCACGAUGUGAACUUCUUGCUCAUAUAAUAUAUUGCUUGCUCCUUCCUCCCUGUUUCAUCGUGUUGUCCCAAGAUGCAACUGAAAGCAUUAUCCAAUACUGAAAUAUACAAAAGUAAUGGUCUACCUGACUCUGGUGGCACCAAUACAGGAGGAUUGGAUAGAUAGUCUUUGAUCUUGUCAAAUGCCUGUUGACAUUCACUUGUCCAUUUCACUGCAGCAUCCUUUUUUAACAGCUUGAAGAUAGGUUCACAGAUGACAGUAGACUGAGCAAUGAAACGACUGAUGUAGUUAAGUCGCCCUAAGAAACUCAUUACCUCCUUCUUGCUCUUUGGUGGGGGAAGAUCACGAAUGGCUUUGAUCUUUGACGGGUCCAAUUCUAUACCUCGACGACUGACAAUGAAACCUAAAAGCUUUCCAGCAGGCACACCAAAGACACAUUUUGCCGGAUUCAGUUUCAGAUUGUACUUGCGUAGCCUGGCAAAGAAUUUCCGUAAAUCCUCCAAAUGAUUUAAACUUUCCUUUGAUUUGAUGAUGACAUCAUCCACAUAAACUUCAAUUUCCUUAUGGAUCAUGUCAUGAAACAAAGUAGUCAUCGCUCUCAUGUACGUAGCCCCAGCGUUCUUUAAUCCAAAAGGCAUCACCUUGUAGUUAUAGACGCCCCACGGCGUGAUGAAGGCAGUUUUCUCAGCGUCGUCUUUGUGCAUCUCAAUUUGAUGAUAGCCGGCAAAGCAAUCCACAAAUGACUGAGUUUCGUGCUUAGCACAAUUGUCAAUCAGUAUGUGUAUGUUUGGUAAUGGAAAGUUAUCUUUAGGGCUAGCUUUAUUGAGAUCUCGGUAAUCCACGCAAACUCUGACCUUGCCGUCUUUCUUGGGCACUGGAACGACAUUUGCAAGCCAAGUUGGGUAUUCUGUCACUUGGAGUAUCCCAGCAUCUAAUUGCUUUGAUACUUCUUCUUUGAUUUUCAAACUCAUCUCGGGCUUGUAUUUUCUCAGCUUCUGUUUUACCGGAGGACAUGCUGGAUCAGUGGGCAGUCGAUGGGCUACGAUUGAAGUACUUAGCCCUGUCAUGUCUGCGUAGGACCACGCGAAAAUAUCCUUAUUCUCUAUGAGAAACUCGGUAUACUCUUUCUUGUCUUCUUUUGUCAUAUGGAUGCUUACUCGGGUUUCUUGUAUCACCUCUGCAUUUCCCAAAUUCACCACUUCUGUCUCUACCAAAUUUGGAUUGGGUUUUUCCUCGAAUUCCUCAACCCUUUUGAUUAACUCCUCGGGAACCUCAUUGUCUUCGACUUCUUCUAAGUCAUUAAUGUUAAGUUGAGCAGUCUCAUUGUAUGCCACAGUCUCAGAUUCGACAUUUUUAUAAUGAAUUUUGCUGGUGAGAAAAAAAAUAGCAAAAAAUUAAAUACAAGACAAAAAAAUGGGGAAAAGAACUUUAUUGAUAAAGAUUUGAAAAUUUCAUAAGUCCUCAUUCGAAAGCAAUACAGGGGACGGGAAUUAAAACGUUUAUUAAAAACUCUUUUAUUUGAAUUAAAACUUGAUAGAAAAACAUCUUCCAAGGCUACCCAGAUGCUCGACGAGGUCUGGAUGGAGUCGAGGUCCAGUUGCUGACGCUGAUCUUUGCCUCCUUGCUUCCACUAGGGCCCCCUUUCUCCUCCUCGUUGAUCACGACGUUGCAAACUUUCCCCUCUUCUUUGGUUAGCGAUAACCCCUUCAAGUCGUCUGAGAUCUCAUCAAUAUUGUCUCCCAUGAAACCUGCUGAUCGAAAUGAUUGAUACAAUGGCGGUAUGGGUUUCUUCAAUGGAUAGUAGUACCCAUCUCUAGGUGGUCGCCAAUCGAGCCAUUCUUCGGUGGUGUAUUUAUAACCCAAACCAAAAGUGGUGGAAUGUCGAACAGGCUGUAUAGGUUCGACUAUCCCUUGUAAUUCAGCCCCCAAACCUUUCCCAAGCUCGAAACCGAACCAGGCCAUCAUAUCUAUGAUUUUUUGGCUGAACCAAGGUUGCAACUCAAUAUUACCAACAAGCUCCACUGUAUGGUACAUUUCGCCAUCCAUAUUCUCUCUUCCUUCAAUCGUGUAUACAGGAUGCCCUUUUUCCCCAUGGACUACAACCUCUUCGUAAUCCCAUUCAAACUUCAGGCAUUGGUGAAGAGUAGAUGGAACCGCUCCAGCCAUAUGAAUCCAUGGACGACCCAACAAUAAGUUGUACGAUGAAGGGAUGUCCAAAAUUUGGAAAGCUAUGGGGAAAGUGACAGGACCAAUGAGCAUGUCCAAGGUUAUCUCCCCAAUAGUGCCUCUCUGAGAGCCGUCAAAUGCCCUCACAUUCAUCUUCCAUGUCUGAAUUUUUGCACUAUCCACACCCAGCCUCGUCAGUGUGCUCAGAGGGCAAAUGUUUAAACCUGAACCUGCAUCAACUAAUGCUUUGUUUAUCACCUUAUCCUGAUACUGAACCGAAAUGUACAAAGCUUUAUUGUGAGUUGUUCCUUCGAUUGGCAGUUCAUCUUUGUGAAAAGAUAUUUUGUAAGCCUCAAAGACCUGCCCCACCAUUUGGGAUACCUCUCCAUGAGUGAUGUUAGACGGGACAUAAGCUUCACCAAGGAUCUUCAGAAGGGCAUCUCGAUGAGUUUCGGAAGAUUGUAGUAACUCCAGAAUUGAUAUUUGGGAAGGGGUUUUACUCAGCUGCUCAAUGACAGAGUAUUCUUUAGCUUUAACCUUUUUCCAAAUACUUUGAUCCUCGAGCUCUAUGACUGGCGCUUUGGAUUUGCUAGAGCUUCCCUGAACCAAAUUUUCAGAAGUGUAAAUUCUUCCAGAUCUGGUGACCCCUGUUGCAACAUCUGUCUCUUCCACAUUUGUUUCUCUUUUGUUGUAAUCCCAAGGUACAGCAUGUGUGUCACAUUGUAUUGGGGAGGAUGCCUUAUAGACAGCGAAUGGUGGUCUGGGUGCAGCAACUUCUACUUCAAAUGGGGCGAGUCCUUGCACUAUUAGUGGUGCUUGGGCAGUGGUAGGCAUGGCUUCCUCUGUUUCGACGGCCCAGAUAGAUUCUUCCCAAUCCCAGACAUCACCAGCUUCCACCAUGUUGACUUGAUGGUUAGGGAGAGGAUUAUUCGCAACAUUCGGUGUAGGAUCCUUCAGUUGGAUGGUUUUUGUAUCAAUCAACAUUUGAACCUUAUCCUUAAGGGCUCUGCAAACUUCGGUGGUGUGGCCCUUCAUCCCAGAAUGGUAGGCGCAGACCUUGUUAGGGUCGUACCAUUUCGCGCGAACAUCCACAGGUAAUGCAGGAAUUGGAGAGACGUACCCAGCCUGUUUCAGUCUCUCAUAAAGUUGUGCUAUGGGUUCAGCCAAAGGGGUAUAGGUUUUUGUAGGUCUUCUUUCAUAGGAAGGUCUGUUUCGGUAAUUUGGUGUUUGAGUGGGUGGUGGAGUUUGGAAGUGUGUUGGUUGAACAUUAUAGACAGGAUAUGAGGCAUGCAAAUAUUGAGGAGGAGCAUUUUGGUAAUAUAUUGGCAUGGGUUGGGGAGAUAUAGGGGGUGGAGCUGAGGGAUGUUGAGGGUAUGGGGUGUGAAGGUAUGGGGUGUGAGGGUAUGGGGAUGGUGGUGGGUUUGUUGUCUUGUGCCUCAAAGGGGUCCUAGUUCCAUGAGCCAUCAUUACAGAACCUGUUUUCUUUCGACUCUCUGUCAUUCCACCAGAUUGCAGAGCCUUGUUGGUUGCUUGUAAAGCCUCCAAGUUGAUGAUAGUCCCAUUCUUUAUGCCUUCUUCAAUUCUUUCGCCUAGUUUGAUGAUUUCAGCGAAACUCUUUUCAGCCACCAGCAUCAUUCGGUCAUAGUAUUGUGGUUCUUGGGCACGGAUGAAAUAGUCUUUCAUUUGAGAUUCUUCCAUAGGGGGUCUGGCCCUAGCCGCCUCAGACCUCCAUCUUAUGGCAUAUUCUCUGAAGGAUUCACUCGGUUUCUUCUUUAGGUUCUGAAUGUAAAACCAAUCAGGCGCAUUUUCAAUAUUGAAACCAAACCUAUUCAUGAAGUCAGUUGCCAUAUCAACCCAUUUUAUCCAUUUCCGCGAGUCUUGCUCAAUGUACCAUGAUAGGGCCUCCCCAGUAAGACUCCUCAUGAACAACUUCAUGAGUAUCCUCUCAUCUCUCCCCACCCCUACAAGUUUGUCGCAAUACAUUCGUAGGUGGGCUUUGGGAUCCCCAAUGCCAUUGAACGUCUCAAACUUCGGUCAGUUCCACAUCAGGAUGCAUGCACAGAUCCUCAUAGCCCAAUCCUCCCAACUUUUUGUUUCCUUCCACGUGUUGUACCCUGUUGGUCAAGUUGUCUAAUCUCUCAGUCAGGGUUUUUAUUAGGAUGUCUUUCUGAUGGGACUCUGAUUCAUGGAGGUCAUGAGUCAGAGGGGCAGUUUCAACGUAUAUGGGAUUGGGAUUGUUGUUCCCAAAAGUAUAUGGGAUAUUUGUGUUUGGGGUUGUUUCUGGGACAGUUGGUUUGGUAUGUUGGUAAUAGUGGUGAAAUGGAAAUUGGGUAUUUUGGGCGUGGGGUGGUGGAAAGGCAUUUGGACGAGUGGGUUCAGGUGGGGAUAUAUGGAUUGGAGGAUUGUCUGGCGUGGCUGUUUGAUUAGGAGGAUUGUCUAUGUUUUCUCCAAAUUGGGUUCCAAGAGAGAUAGACAACUUGGCCAAAUCACGCAUGCUGGCUACCUCUUCUUCCAAUUGCGAAAUCUUGCGCUCAAGUCUUAGGAUAAGAUUACUAUGAAGUUGUCCUCCCUCAGAAGCUUCUACCCUUUCAGUGGUGCUGUUGUCGUCAACCAUUUUUCCUUUGUCUUUUGAGCUUGCUCUUUGAGAAGAAGGAGAAGGGGGGUCCCUUUGAUCGUGUAUGUGCCAGGAUGAAGGACAGAUCAACCUUAGGAAAUGGGAAAACAAUAGAAUCAAAAGAAAAGAGUUAGGGGGUUAAGAUAAUAUCACAAUAUCAACACGUUGUUUUGAAAUAAACGCCCUAAAUGCAAGGAACCUCGUUGAGCCAGAGGUAGGCCUAAGCGACACAUAAGUGAUGCAUAAUAAUUAAUUCAAGCCUUAUUUGCCAAUUUGGAGUUUAGAGUUAGAUAAUAGAACAACUUUCGAUUAUUGAAAUAAUUUCUGUUUAUUACAUCAAUCUAAAGAUAACUAAAGGGCUAGGGAUAACAUAUGGGGAGUAAAGAGAAAUAAAUAAUAAUAAAAAACUUUAAUCAUGUUGCUCUCCAAUGUUAGGCACAAUCUGCUUCUUCAUUUCUGGGGUAAUGUCAUAAUCAGUGUUGAGGAGGUUGCGAGCCCAUCUUCUCUCUUUUUCAUCGCCAAAACCAGGAAGACCUCCUUCGCUCAAAUCUCUAUGCUCUGCAUCUUCUAAAAGCCAUACAUAAUAUUCAGGUGUGCAGAAGGGUCGGUGCUCUUGAACAUCGAUAGUUAUCACAUUCUUCCAUCUUCGCAGUAUGGUGUUCACUUGCGGUAAUGCUGACCCAAAGUCAUAUCCAUAGUGGCUCAUGUGGGAUCGUAGAGGUAUCAUUUGGAUCUGUCCGAAUUGUCGAAGGACUCGAAGUGGUGCGUAUGGUUGCACACCGUUCAAACCGAUAAGCUCAAUGAAGUAAAGUUCAUUUCCUCUUAUGAUGGCACGUCGUGGCUUCAACCAAUAAUACUUCCAUUGGAUUUCAACGGCUGAGCGCUCCUUUAGGUAUGUGAACCAGUCCUCUGUUCCCAUAGGGGAGAUAAAAUGUUUCAUCCUUAGGGGAUGGUUGAUAAUUUUGUUCCCCAUAGUCCCUCUAACAAUGUCUACUUUAUUAGCUCUUUGGUAGAAAUGUUCGACGGCCCAAAGUUGCAGCAGAAAGUUGCACCCUUCAAAGUAUCUUUUGCCUUUGGUGCAUGCAGUCAAAGCUCUUAGAAUUUCUGCAAGUAUCAUGGGGACCAAGGUUUUCCCACCUCGAGCCAACAUACGAACCACAUAACAUAAGCCGGUGUGGAUCUUUUCUCCUUCUCUAGGAAAAACCAAUGAGCCUAAUAGGGCGACAGCGAACGCAUUAAGACGAUACCUUUCCCAUUUUGCAGAAGAGCAAGCAAAUUCUCUAUGAAAGUUUUGAUGACCUUCCUCAUCCCCAAAGCGUGAAUAUAAGAACUCUAAAGAAAUCCAACCUUCUUUCAGACAAAGUAGAUUUGGAUUAUGACACAUGCCCAUUUGCUUCAGAAAAGAUCUUGGACUUGGCUUGUGUGGAACAAUCAUUUCCAACUCUUUGUAUGCGAGACCCAUGAAUCCUCCAACUUCUUCUAUUGUUGGAGUUAGCUCAAAAUCCCUGAACUUGAAGACUAACCUCUCAGUGUCCCAGAAUUUCAACAAUGCCUUGAUUAAGUGACGAUCUGACUCUACGGAGAUCAAAGCAGUGAGGCCGCCUAACAAUUCAUUUGCUUCUAACUCUCGAUUUUUUUGAAUAUCUUUCCACCAAGUCUUCAAAAUGGGAUUAACUUUGACCACCAUUUGCGUGUUUGGAAAGUGAGGGUGAGCCAUGACUCUGCAAACAAAGUAACAAACAACUUCUAAACUCCAUUUUGGUAAUGUUGGCUUGAUUUAAUUAUUAUGAUCACGUUGACACAUAAAUAUGCAAUUUGUCUAAGGGUGUUGGGGCCCUUUAGACGAGAGGGUGGCUACUAAUUACAUGGAUUGACACCAAGGGUCAAACCUCCUAGGGCUUAUGCAGCAUGUAUGACUUAACCAGGACUUCUAAGAGUUGGCUUGACACGGACUUGAAAGGGAUUCUAUGCGAGAGGCUCGUGGCUUCGCGGUAGUAAAACUAUCCACUACGUCCACGCAUAUGCCGACUCUCUAUAAUGGGUAUUUGUAUAAGAUUGGAGUAGUUGUGAGAGGUGCAAAGGCACAACAUCACGAGAACAAAAUAUAAAAGGAAGAGGGUCCCAAUUGGGGGAAGUAUGAGCGGGAUGCUAAUUAUCAAAGCAGUAAACAUUUAGCAUUUAAAUUGGAAAACGAUAACAUAUAGGCUGUUUAUAAACAAUAAAUAAAUAAGCAUAAAUAAAGGAAAGUAAACAUAUAAAGAUAUGAAAACUACGCAAAUAAAGCAAGAGGAUACGAGAUUAAACAUGUAAACAAAUAAGGGGAAAGGGAAGAGGUGAAACAUGAUAAUAAACAAUUAAGGAAAAGGGAAAGGGAGGAACAUGAAGAGGACACAAUAAAUAGGGCAACAAAAUAAGUUAACCAUGGUAAGCACCUAAUGAAUAAAAUAAACCCCACAUAAGUAAGCAAUUAACACGUAAUGGUAAGAACCUAAUAUCCCCAGCGGAGUCGCCAUUCUGUCGCGCCCCAUUUUCGCAGAAAACGGGUUUUGUGCACGACCUAACAACUCUUUUGGGAUUUUUGAGUUUUGGAGUCGCCACCUAACGAGUUAAGGCGCGUUAGGGCACCUAUCUAAACUAACUAAGUCUAACUAAGGUCAACGAGCCAGAGAUUUGGGUAAGGGUUCAAAUUACCUCGAGGGGAAGGUGUUAGGCAUCCCUCGAGGUCCACAAGUGUGGGUCCCGGCCGUAUCUCAUGCAAUCUAUAUGGGGGGUACAAGUAGCAAUCAAGGUCGUUUAAUUUAUUAAUUUAUUUAAUCUUACUAAGUGAUAACAAAUAUAAAACAAUUAAUACUAUUAAUUUAAGCAUGCAACGCUAGGUGAUGACAACAAAUAAACAAUCAAGUUUUAUUUAAGCAUGAGACUAAGUUAUAAACAAAAUUUAUAAAUAUUAAACAAUUAAUAUGUGAGAAAGUAAGGUUUUGAAAAUUAAGCAAGUUUUGAAUAUGAAUUUUUAUUUUAAAAAAAUGUUUGUUUCUUUAUAGGGAUGAUGCCACGAUAUUAUUGAUCGCGCUCCUCCACCAUAGAAACAAUUUUGAUUUGAGGUCGGUAUAUAAAAAAAAAGUUAUGUUUUGAAAAAUGAUUUAAAAGAUUUAGUUCACACGUAGGCACAUAAACAUUUACACAUAAAUGCACAUAAUUGUUUUUUGAAAUUCAUGGGAAGUGGUACUUCCGGGGACGCGUCGGGUUUAAAAAAAUUGGAACUAGACCUCGUAGUUCCUUUGACUCUCCCACUAACGAUAGGUUAGGAGAUAGUACUUUAUAAUUUAUUUCAAAAAUAAGCAGAGUCAUAAUCAAUCCAAAAUUUAAAGAAAGAUUGAAUUAUGUUGCAAGGUUUUGAUAUGAAAUAUUUUUAAACUAAGUAACUUGCUAGAUGCAUAAAAUGAUUCUAAUUUAAAUAAAAAAAAGUUGCAUAAUGAAUG
rnacentral:lncRNA from 1 species